GUAUAGGAGUUCACCAUCCAACAAACCCCACACCUUGGAGUUUACGGCCGUAAACUCAUAGGUUUAUGGCCGUGAACUCCUCAAAUGGUGUUUUUGGGUGUUUUGUGGUGUUAUCUUGCAUCUAGAACACUCCUAUCUUUAUUGGAAUAAUGCAUGAAGUAGUUUUAAGGCUUUAGAACACUCCAUAAGGGAGUUUACGGCCUAAGGUCCUUCACCUUAGAGUUUACGGCCGUAAACUCUAGGAAAUAAAUUGAUUUGAGGCACUUAAACAUCAAGAAUGGCAUCCAUGAUUUUAUCUAAGGCUAAUGGGAACAAGAGGCACACUUUGGUGCCUUCACUUGGAGUUUACGGCCCAAGUCAUGUUCCUUGGCCGUAAACUCCUUUCAAGGAGUGAUUAAUUUGUUUUCUACUCUCCAUUCUAGUCCCAAGGGUUCAAGGAAAAUUAUAUUAAGGCCUUAGGUGUGAUAGGAAUGCAUUUUUUUGUCCCACAAAAAGGGGUUUACGGCCCAAGAGAGUUCUUGGCCGUAAACUCCUAAAAACUUAUGGCUUUUAUGGGCUUUUGGUGUUCUAAUCAAGCACAUGUACUAGUACAUAAAGUCCUUAAGCAUUUGGGGAAGGUUUUAGGGCAUUUAAGCUCUUAAAAAGGGGUUUACGGCCCAAGGGAGUUCCUUGGCCGUAAACUCCUAGAAACUUAUGUAUUUGAUGUCUUUUGAUGCCUAAAAUAAGCACAAGCAAUUUAGGGUAAAGGUAUUUAAGCAUUAGAGGGGAGUUUAGGGCACUUAAUUGCCCUUAAAAAGGGGUUUACGGCCCAAGGGAGUUCCUUGGCCGUAAACUCCUAGAACUUGUGUUUCUUGGAUGCUUUUUGGCCUAUAAAGAUCAUACUCUAACUCCUAAACAAGUCUUCUAACAAGGUAUUGGGACUAGGAAGCCGUAAUGUUCCAUUUUGGAGUUUACUCCCCAAGAACGAUCUUGGGCGGUAAACUCCCGGAUCUUGACGAUCUAGACAUGUAAUUGUUGUUAAUAAGCAUUAAACUAGUAUUGAAUCACAUAUAGAAAAGUAGACUCACAAUCUGGGAUGAAAACCCGAAGAUCUGUCAGAGAGAAUAUGGCUUUUCUCUAUUUGGAAUUGUGAAUAAUGAAUUUAUUUAAUUCAGCAAACUAUUUAUAGUCCUGGAAUAUUUUGACAGAAAAUGUUUUCAUUCCUGAUGUUGGACUGUAACAGCAUGAAACUUGAAAUGCCCAAGUUUCACAAAACCAGGAGUAUCCACUCUCCUGAUAUCAUCUAAAACAUAACCCUAAUGUACACAAACUUGUUCGGAAAAGCUUGAAAUUCACUGAAACUGAACUAGCUUCUAUUGAGUAGAUGAGGUUUAUACGGUUGGAAAUUUCAGGUUGUCACAGAAUUUUCCAAAUGCCUUGGGGCAUUAAUGAGAAAAAUGUCGAGAAUUGGAUAUGACUAAAGUGAUUAAGCAAUUGUUGAGGAAAAUCUAAGGUUACCAAAGAUUGGUUGCUCAAGGAAAAUUGAAAGUAUACUGUUAAUAUUGGAGGGACCAUAUUGACAUUGUCUGAAAAGAGGCAACUCUUGUUCAUAAGUGGUAGUCAAAAUGGGAAUAUAGAGUUGUCUUCAUAGGUGGAAGCAAUAUGUGUAAGGUUAAAGAAACUUAAUGCAAGAAGCAUGUUCAUAGCAAUGUGCUUUGAAUUUGAGACAUCAUUUCCAUGGAAUUUCUCUCCAUUGGAAUACUCUAAAAUGAUUGCUGCCAAGUCUUUGUUGCUUUGUGCAUAAUCGUUACAAAAGGAAUAGUGCAUAUAAGUUUAAAAGCUAAACAAAUUUCAAUAAAUGUUAGGAAUUCUUACAUUUACGACAAGGAUUAGGAAGUGUGAAAAGAGAAUCAUUGAAAUUAUGUUCAAUCGAUCUAGUUCACAAAGUAAGCAUCAUAGAUAAACAUAGAGUGCAUACUUGGUGUAUGGCAAAGCUAUUGUUUAGAGAAACAUAGUGUACAUGCUUGGAGCAUGGGACAACUAGUGUUUUUAAUUCAAGUAUAAAGUUGAUAAAACUGAAACAAUGAAUAAUGAGUAAUCAGUAUGGUGAUAAAUAAAAGUGGUCUUUUUAUAUUCAUAGGGUUUGAUACCAUAUUUGAUUGAUGUAUUCUUGUGUUUCACUUUGCAUGUUUUGAAUUCAUUAAUAAGUAGGUUAUUCUUCCAGAAUGACUAAGUUAUUCAAACCAUCCACAUUCGGUCAUAUGUUGGAAGUAGAUAUCGAUCAAGACUGUCAUGUGUUGGCUUGUAGAGGUCCAAGUUGGUAGACAAAGUUAUGCUACAACACUCGUGAGUGCUCAUAAGUUAUGCAUAUUGGAUUGAACCUGCGCUCAUUUGAAUCACUUCAUGGAUUUUAUCAUGAGUGAUCAUGAGACGAUAAUAUCUUAUAUUCUUCAAACCUAGAGAUAUGAGUUGUUACUAUGAGUUGGUUGUACAUUGAUUGCACGAAACCGCAUUCGGUAACUCGAUAUUAUAAAACGUGCCUUUGUGUAUGAUUCAACAGGUAGUAGAACAAUCCAUAUGAGUCAAAGUUUAUCCAUUCCUUUUACCUUCGGGAUAAAAGCGAUAUCUAUUGGCCCCUCGAUGAUUUAAUGAUGACACAUGUGAGUGCUUGGCCAAGCCAAGACUGAUUUGAUUUGUUUAAUCAGUAAGUCGUCAUGAGUCGAAAAUUGGAAAAAAAAACAAAUGGACCGAGAGAAUGAUUAUAAUCCAUGUCUCAGUCCAUUUGAUAUCUAGAAUGGAGGAAUAUAUGAUCCCUUAUCUAAUGGACAAGUCAUUGACAAAGGUCAGAGUUUGACAGCGGCUUUAAGGGCUACGAUUGCCAGUUAGGUUUUGAAGUCAUACUCAAUAAUAGUUUAAGACUUAUCCAAGUGGGAGACUGUUGGAUUGAUGUCUAAGUCCAUAACUAUAUUUGAUAUGUACUUGACCCGACUCGACAUGGUCCAUUUGGGUUGCACUUCACCAACACAAUUUAUAUGGAUAGUCUUUUGAGAAUAGUAUAUUUAUGAUUUAUAUUAAUAUAUUAUAGGUUCUAAUAUAUUAAUAUUGAAUCAUAUUAUUUAAUUAGUAUUGAUCAAGAGUUAAUUUAGAAAUAAUUAAGUGAUCAAAAGGAACUAAUUAAAUAUGGACUCAUAGAUAUAUGGAAUGGGCCAAGUUCAUUUAGGUUGGGCUAAGCUUUCAUGGAUAGUCCAUGGAGUGUUUAACCCAUGGAUCCUAGGAAAUGAAAGGUCAUGGGUNNNNNNNNNNNUAUAUAUAUGGAUUGGGCCAAGUUCAUUUUGGUUGGGCUAAGCUAUCAUGGAUAGUCCAUGGAGUUUUAACCCAUGGAUCCCAUAAAAUGAAAGAUCAUGGGUAUUAGGGUUUACAUGAAUGUAACCCUAAUCCUCCAUACUAUAUAAAAAGGUCUUUGGCACAAGAAAUGACACUAGUGUGUGAGGACAUAAGAGUGGGCCGAUUUUAGUGUGCAUACAUAUUCUGUCAAGUUCUUCUAAGGUGUCUUGGUGAUUUGUGAUUCCACUUGAGGCUUCCACGCUAUUGGGGCUAAGCUCUUAAAGCUUGUAGACAUCAAGCUACAUUAAAAGGUAUGUCAUCUAACUAGAACUUUGUAGUAUAGGUGCUUCAUAAUAUGCUAGUUAGGAUGAAACCUUGGAAUAUUAAAUAUUUGCAUGUAUAAUAGAGAAGACAUAGAUCCAAGGUUUAUAGGGUUGCAUGUACACCAUAGGAGUGUUAGAAUGCUUAAAACCCAUCACCUCCCACCUUCAGUCUCCUUGCUUUCGUUCGACUCCUUGCAAACCCUAACCAUCCUUUGUGAAAUAUUCAGCUCAUUUUGGUGUUUAGUCUUUAUCUUUGAAGGAAGGAAAAGACUAGAAAGCUAGUGAAAAGUUUCAAGGCUUGUGGAUCUAUGUUUUUCACCUUUCAAGCAACCUCCAGAAGGUAUAAAGUUUUGAUCUUGUUGAAUGUUUCAUUAGAUCUGGUUAGUUCUUGAGUUUUUGUGCCAUUUGGUCCCAUAAUCUUGGUAUAUAUGAGUUUGUCCUACUCUAGACCAAAUGGGCUAUCCUUUCAGAUGUUUUCGAGUGUUUGUAGGGAUAAAAAUGUGAUAUUGGUCCCUUUCCCCAUACAUGCAAGAGUUAUGAAGCUUGGAUUUUGGGUAGUGAGUUUGGGUUAGGAUUUUGAGCACUUCUAGUCAGGCAAAGUCAUAAUUUUGGAAACUUUAUUAUUAAGGAGGUUAUUUGGACCUAGAUCUAUGCUCUGGAUGUAAGGUCCUAAAUGAAUAAGAACUUAAUAAGAACUUUGGCAGUUGGUCGAGUAUGCAGGGUGUACCAUUGGAGUACGCAUGGCAUACUUUCUUAGACUCCCGUAAUUUGGGAAGGAAAUCUGUAAACCAUGCGUAGAGAUGGAGUAUGAAUGGUGUACUCAGCCUGAUGGGAUUUUGACUUUUGACUCUUGACCUUUGAUGUGCAUUUGACCAUGUUUGACUGACGAGAAUUUUGGGUAAUUUGAAUAGUAGUUUGAGAUUAGGUCCCUGUUUACUGUAUAGGUGACCGGUAGAUAUAACAUUUAGAGCAGUGAUUUGUUCAGUGAUUUCUCAGUCUGUGAGGUGAGUUCUCCACUCUAUACUUGUGGGUGGAUGGCACCAAUGCCAGCCAACUAGGUUAUGUAUCCUAGUAUAGAAUGUUGCUAUGAUGUAGUGAUUUGUUAGAUUAGAUUAAUUAUCUAGUUAUUGUUAUAUUUUUUAUUUGUUGCAUAUGUUGACAUAGUGUGGUUGGGUUGAGGCAAUAUUGCUCUGUAUGGAAGACAACAAGCCUAAAAGCAAAUCAAACAUAAGUUGUGGGCUGGAAAAGGCAAGCCAAACAUAUAAUGUGGGCCCGGGAGCAAGCCGGAGAUAUGUUGUGGUCCGGAUAAGGCAAACAUGACUUAUGAUGUGGGCUCGGGAGAAAUCUAGACAUGAGUUAUGGGCCAGGAGGGAAAUCCAGAUUCAUACUAUUGGCUUAAAGGUAAUCUAGCCCGAUGGUUGUGGGCCUAGUAUGCAUGCUGUUAUAUGAUAUGUGGUGGUAUUUUGGGGGAAACUCACUAAGCUUUGGCUUAAAAUUUGGUUUAACAUUUCAUUACUUCAAAAGACAGGAGAAAGGCAAAGGCUUGAUUGUGCACUUCAUCCUAGACGUUAUGUGUUUUUAUGAUUUUGGGAUACUCUGACUCAUGAUAGUCACUUUUGAGAACUUGUUUUGUAAACUUAUGGAUUUUUGGAUGGUUUUACAAAUGAAAAAAUUUCCUUGAUUUUUGGGAUGUUAGAAGGUAGUAUCAGAGGCCUUUUUUGAGUGAAUUGGAUGAGCAUUCGUGUGAAUCUAGACUCAAACUAAGGAUCUACAUAAAUUUUCAAUAUAUUUUCAACUUAUUUUCAAAAUUACCAAUGAAGGAUGUGAUGUGUACAAUCAGCAAGAGCAAGAAAGUAUUCCACAAGAUACCAACAGUAUUAUUUUUUUAUAAGGAAUAUGAUAGAAUUUCAUGGUAGUAAGAGGAUAGGGAUCUUCAGGAAUUGCAUGAUAGAAUUCCAUGAAUUUUGAUGCAUAAUAGCCUAGGGAAAUUUCUUGUAUGCUAGAUGAAAUUGACAUUAUGACUAUAGUUGUUUACUGUAUACAUCAUUGUUAUACAUAACUAAUAUUUAAUAGCCUGAGAAUACUCGGUUUAUCCUUAUUUCAUGUUCCUUGUUUGGUUGUGGGAUUAGGCUAAAAUCAAAUAUUUGGUUGUCUAUGGGAUCCAACGUUGUGUAUGAUUAGCAUACAUGAGCGGCUCCAGGGUUGGUGGAAGUUUCCUUAGUGAGUAUGGUUGUAGUAGGCCAGCUUGAGGGAUGAUUAUCAACUCCUGUAGGAGUGGGUAUAGGAUGGAUGUGUAUAUUAGUUGUUAGGUUUGUAUUUAGGUUGUAUUUAGUGAUUUGUUGAGACAAAUACGGGUAGGUUUGGAAGGUAGUAUGGGCCCAUACUACUAGAAGUAGAUGAACCAUACGUGUAGAAAGGAAGUCCGAACCCUGAAGGUUGGACUUUCUCUAAGGAUUGUGAUAGUAUGAAUUGUGGAAUUUCUAAUGUGUUUUGGUUCAUUUUCAGUAUGUUGUACACAAGACGUUCUAGAUCAGGAGUUGGUGGUCCAGAGAGGCCAGGUUUGACGGAUGAUGACAUUCGGGAGAUGAUCACCACUUAGGUGAUCGUGGCUGUCUGGGAGGUGAUCCCGAAGUUCUUUGGGUCUAUCAAGACCAUGAUGAUUGAGGUUUUUGUUGAGAAAUAUGCCAUUGUGACCGAGGCUGUUCUUGUUGUAGCUAUUACAGUCGUUGUUGCUGCGAGGAUUCAGGUGAGAGGGUCAAUCCACUACCGAGACUUCAGCAACAUGAAGCCCCCGGAGUUUGAUGGGGUCAAUGACCUGAUUGUGGACAUGAGAUGGAUUUCUGGUGUGGAGGGAUAUUUCUUCACUUGCUCAUGUACAAAGGAUUAGAUGGUCAGGUGCACCCUAAACCUUCUUCAUCUUGGCGCGAAGGACUGGUGGAAGCAAGUGACUGAUUCUUUUACUCCUAAGAAAUUGGAUGUUGUUACUUGGGAGAAGUUCUCCGAGAUUUCCCACACUAAGUAUGUUCCCCUGGUAGAGAGAGUGGUUGGCUCAAAUGUAUCUGACAUUAAGGCAGACGACAGAGUCUGUGACAGAGAACACCAAAAUGUUUACCGAGAGAUCUCUUUUCUGUACUGACUAUUCUGCUUGAAAGUAGGACUAAAUGUUGCGAUACUUGAGCAUGCUCAGGACUGAGAUUAGGCAGUUUGUGUCUACCCAACGAUAUUGUACUCUCUUAGAGCUUCAGGAUGUCAUAUGGAGGCAGGAGAUUGUGACUCAUAUGCGGGACCAAAGUCAAGAUCCAGUUCAGUCACAGGCUACAUAAUAGUAGUUCAAGCCUGCUGAUUCAUGAUUUGGGUGCCACUAAAUGGUAGGGAUUUACAUAUUUCUAGGGCUUGUCGUCAACAAGCCAAGUGAGCUCCAACAUUUGCUACCACUAUGAUCAGGUUGGCCAUGUGAAGGCCAACUGUCCCUUACUCGCUACGAGACUAGUGCAGGCACCAGCACCGACUACCUUGAGGAUUAUAGAUAGACGACUUGGGAGAUAUGACUCCCCGAAGGCCAGGGGUCGUCCCUUUCAGCUCACAUCGGACGAGGCCAGGGCGAAACCUAACAUCGUUACUAGUAUUUUCUCAUUUAUUAUUCUGUCAAUACAUUUUAUUAUAUGCUUAUGAUUGUAUUUUUGAUAGGUACCUUCUUACAGAAUUCUUUUCCUGCUCUUGUGCUUUUUGACUAACGUGCGAGUCGGUCUUUUGUGUCUCAGUCCUUCAGUAGGAGUUUUGAUAUGCCUCUUAGAGAGUUGGACCUCCCGUUGCGAGUUUCCAAUGCCAACAAACACAUAAUUUCUAUGAUGAGCACUUUCUGGGAUUGAACCUUGGGAUAUUCGGGGUGUCCUACCCAAUCGACUUGAUUCCCAUUCCUAAUGGAGAUGUGUGCAUGAUAGUUGGGAUGGAUUGGUUGAGCAGAUUUAGUGUCAUGACUAACAGUGAGGGACAGCCGGUGGUUGUUCAAACCCCAAGUGAGGGAGAACUGACUAUUUAUGGCGAGGGUACCAACAUGGAUCAACUUUUUGUUCUCCCGCCAGGGCUCGAUAGUUUCUACAGAAAGGGUGUAUGGGUUAUCUCGCAUAUAUGGUUGACACAUGGAUCGAAGGGGAGUUACUAUUUCUGAUGUGCCUGUAGUUAGAGAGUUCGUAGAUGUAUUCCCGCAGUAUUUAACCGGUGGGCCUCCUACGAGGAAGGUUGAGUUUAGGAAUGACUUGGUUCUUGGCACAAUCCUUUUAGCUAAGGCGUGAUACCGAUUAACACCGCUUAAGAUGCAGGAGUUAUCUUAUCAGCUUUAGGAGCGGUUGGGAAAGUAGUUUAUCCGAACGGUCAGUUCACCAUGGGGAGCACCAAUUUUGUUCGUAAAAAAGAAGGACGGUUCACACUAAAUGUGAAUUCAUUAUCGGGAGCUAAAUAAGUUGACGGUGAAGAACCAUUAUCCACUUCCACGGAUUGAUGAUCUCUUUGAUAUGCUGCAGGGUGCAUCUUGGUUCUCCAAGAAUUAUUUGAGGUCAGUGUAUCAUCAGAUAAGGGUUAGAGAGGAGGACAUGGAUAAGACAAUGUUCUAAACUCUAUAUGGUCAUUAUGAGUUCGUGUUGAUGCCAUUUGGGCUCACUAACACACUGACGGAAUUUAUAGAUUUAAUAAAUCGGGUAUGUAGGCCGACACUCAAUCGUUCGGUCAUUGUUUUUAUUAAUAACAACUUGGUCUACUCCAAGACCAAGGAGUAGCAUGAGGAACACCUUUGAGAGCCACUAAGAGUUUUGAGGAGAGAGAGGAUUUAUGCCAAGUUCUUGAAGCAUGAGUUUUGGUUAUGGGAGGUCUAGUUCUUGGGACACAUCGUCAUCCAUGGCAAGAUUCUCGUUGACCCAGCCAAGAUAGAGGCAUUUAUACGGUGGGAGGUCUCGAAGUCCCCUUUGGAGAUCAUGAGUUUUUUGGGUUUAGCUGGAUAUUAUCGGAGGUUUAUUUGGAAUUUCUCCAUGGUUGUUGUACCUCUCACUGCUUUGAUGAGGAAGGGUGUGGAUUUUUGCUGGGGCCCUGAGUAGUAGGCUAUGUUUGAGACGCUGAGACAGAAAUUUUGUGAGGCCCCGGAGUUUACCCUUCGGGAGGUCGUGGAGGAUUUUGUUGUUUAUCAUGAUGCUUCUAUCACUACUUUGAGGGAAGUAAUCCUACAGUGAGGAACGUUUAUUGCAUAUGCUUUUUGGUAGCUAAAGCCGCAUGAGGUUUAGUAUCUGACGCAUGAUCUGGAGGUGGGGGAGGUAGUGUUUGCCCCCAAGAUUUGGAGACAUUAUCUAUAUGGGGUCCGAUGUACCGUCUACAUGGAACACAAGAGUUUGAGAAUUCUCAUGGAUCAACCGAAUCUAAAUUUGCAACAGCGUGAAUGGCUUGACGUGGUCAAGAAUUAUGACUGCAAGAUUAUGUAUCAUCCAGGGAAAGCGAAUGUGGUUGCUGAUGUAUUCAGCUGAAAGAGGGCUAGUACUUAUGUUGAGGAUUUUUGUAUGAGGAUUUCUAUCUAUUCUCCGCUUUAGGAGAUAAUCAUAUAGGCUUGGCUAAGGGAAUCAAGAGUGACCACUGGAAGAAAGAGAGAAUCAGAGGUCAGAUAAGUAGGUUCAGCACCGAUAGUCGCAGAUUGUUGACACAUUAUGGUUAGGUUUGGGUUCCACAUUUUUGUGGGGUCAGGCAGACUGUGAUGGAGGAUGUAUAUGAGUCCAAAUUUUUUUAUACACCCUCAAGCGACAAAGAUGUAUUGGGAUUUUAUACUUAGUUAUUAAUGGUCGUACAUGAAGAGGGAGAGCGCUUAGUAUGUUGAUAGGUGCUUGACCUAUCGGAUAGUCAAGGCCGAGUAGUAGAGGUCGCACGACAAGCUACAACCUUUGGAGGUUCCCAUGUGGAAAUGGGAACAGAUUACUAUGGAUUUUACCAUUAAAUUAUGCAGUAUAUUUAUGGGAUUUGAUACGAUAUGGGUCAUUGUGGAUAGUUUGACCCGGAGUGGCUACUUCUUGGCUAUUCGGGAGAUUUCCUCAGCCAAUAAAUUGGCCGAUGUGUAUGUACAUGACAUCAUCACUCGACAUGGUCUUCCAGUCUCCAUUGUCCUGAUCUAGAUGUUCGAUUUACUUCUCGAUUUUGGCAAAGGUUCCACGAGGAACUAGGUAGGAUAUUGCUCUUCGGCACCGCCUAUGUAGACUGACGGCCAGAGCAAGCAGACCAUACAGACACUCAAGGAUAUGUUGAGAGCACGUGUCAUAGAUUUUAGAGGGAAUUGGGACUCCUAUCUUCCCUUAGUUGAGUUCUCUUACAACAAUAACUAUCACUCUAGUAUUUGUGCGCCGCCUUUUAAGAUUCUUUAUGGGCGGAAGUGUCAUACCCUAGUUUGUCAGGGGGAGAUCGGUCACAGGGUUAUAGAAAAUACCAAGGUGGUUCUUCAGACAACAGAGCUUAUCCAACAUAUCAGGAAGAGGUUAUAGAUAGCUAAGAGCCUACAGAAGAGUUAUACUAACAGACGUUGAUUCGAGUUAGAGUUCAGGUUGGGGACAUGGUUUUAAAAAAGGUACCACUAUGGAAGGGUGUAAUAUACUUCAAGAAGAAGGGCAAGUUGGGGCCCCGAUUUAGUUGGUCAUUUCGAUUAGUGCCCAGGGUAGGUAGGGUCUAUCGACUGGAUCUGCCUGAGGAGCAUAGCUAUAUUCACAACAACUUCCUUGUUUUUCAGCUUUGGAAGUGUGUAGUUCAUGAAUCAACAAUGGUUCCAUUGGAUGAUAUUCAAGUUGAUGAUCACUUGAAAUAUGUUGAGAAGCCAGUGGCAAUUUUGGAGAGGAAGAUGAAGGCCUUGUGCAACAAGGUGGUACCUUUUGUCAAGGUUUAGUGGCAACUUUAGAAAUAUUUUGAAUGGAUGCGGGAACCCGAGAUAGAGAUGCGGGAGCAUUACCCAAAGUUAUUUACAGCAUCGGACUUUGAGAACGAAGUUUGAAUCAAGUGGGGGAGAAUUUUAACACCCAACCAAUUAGGUGAUUUCCUUUUUUGUCUCAAAGUUUUAAGUAUUGAGAAAAUGGUUCGUACGCCAUGUGUACCUAGGUUGUACGCAAGACGUAAGCCUUCAAUGAAUAAUGUGGGUGUUGGUGAGUAUGCAGGGUGUACUUAAUGGGUAUGCAUAGCGUACUCAACAAAAAUGCAAACCCAAAUUUUUAGGGUUUAAUCCCUAUAUAAUCUCAUUAUCUGCCUUAAGACCCUCCCACCUUCAACCUCCAUUCUCCCGUUCUAGUCCUUGCAAACCCUAACCAUCCUGUGUGAAAUAUUGAGCUCAUUUUGGUGUUUGGUGUUCAUCUUUGAUGGAAGGAAGUGAUUGGAAAGCUAGUGAGAAGUUUCAAGCCUUAUGGAUCUAAGUUUUCCCCUUUCAUGCAACCUGCAGAAGGUUAAGGUUCUGAUGAUGAUGAAUGUUUCAUUAGAUAUUCUUAAUUCUUGAGUUUUUGUGCCUUUUGGUCCUAGAAUCUUGGUAUAUAUGAGUAUCACCUAUUCCAGACCAAAUGCGUUAUCCUUUCCAAUGUUUUUUAGUUUUUGUAGUCAUAAAAAUGUGAUCUUGGUCCCUUUCUCCCAUCCUUGCAAGAGUUAUGAAGCUUGGGUUUUGGUUGGUAAGUUAGGGAUUGGAUUUUGUGUACUUAUAGUUAUGCAAAAUCAUAAAGUUGGAGACUUUAUGAUUAAGGAGGUUUUUUUGGACUAGAUCUGAGUUCUAGACGUAACGCCUUAUAGAAAUAAGAACUUAAUAAGAACUUUGGUAGUUGUCCGAGUCUGCAGGGAGUACCAUUGGAGUACGCAUGGCAUACUUGCUUGGGUCCCCCAUAAUUUGGGAAGGACAUCUCUAAGCCAUGCAUAGAGAUGGAGUAGCAUGGCGUACUCGGCCUGGAUGGGAGUUUGAAUUUGAUUCUAGACCUUUGACCGUGGAUUUGACCAAGUUUGACUUAAGGGCAUUUUGGGUAAUCUGAAUAGUAGUUUAAGAUUAGGUCCAUGUUCAUUAUAUAGGUGACCGGUAGAGACAUCAUUUGGAGUAGUGACCUAUUCACCGAUUUCUUAGAUUUUUGGGUGAGUUUUUCGCACUAUACUUAUAGGUAGAUGGCACCAAUGUCGGCCUACUAGGUUAUGUACCCUAGUAUAGGAUGAUGUUAUGAUGUAGUGCUCUGUUAGACUUUAUUGAUUAUAUGUUUGUUGUUAUAUGUUUUAUUUGUUGCAUAUGUUGACGUAAUUUUGUUAGGUUGAUGCAAUACUACUCUAUACGGAAGCCAAAAAACAUGGGAACAAACCAUACAUAAGUUGUGGACCGGAAAAGGCAAGCCAAAAUUAUAAUGCAGGCUCGGGAGCAAGGCAUGCAUAAGUUGUAGGAUAGAUAGGGCAAGCCAGACUUAUGUUGUAGGCUCGGUAGCAAUACAUACAUAAGAUGUGGGCCAGGAGGGCAAUCCAGACACAUGUUGUGGGUUCAGCGGUAAUCCAGGUUGAUAGUUGUGGGCCCAAUAUACAUGUUGUUAUAUGAUGUGUGUAGGUAUUUUGGGGAAAACUCACUAAGCUUUGGCUUACAGUUUGAUUUAUGGUUUUAGGUACUCUAGAGGAUAAGGGAAAGGAGAAGGUUUGAUUGUGCACAUCAUCUUGGAUUUUACAUGUUUUUAUAAUUUUGGAUACACUGAUUCAUGAUAGUGACUUUUGAGAACUUGUUUUGUAAAAACUUAUGGGUUUCUGGAUGGUUUUAAAAAUGAAAAAUUUUUCCUUGAUUUUUGGGAUUUUACAAGUUGGUAUUAGAUCCUUGGUUUGAGCGAUUUGGAUGAACACUCGUGUGAAUCCAGACUCAAACUAAGGACCUUCAAAACUUUUCAAAGUAUUUUCAACUUAUUUUCAAAAGUAACCAUGGAAGGAUGUGAUGUGUACCAUCAGACGGAGCUAGAAAGUAUUCCCCAAGAUACCCACACUAUUAUUUUUUUAUGAGGAUUAUGAUAGAAUUGAAUGUUGGUUGUAGGCUAUGGAUCUUCAGGAACUUCAUAAUAGAAUUACUUGAGUUAUGAUGCCUGAUAGCCUAGGCAAAUUUCUUGUAUGCUACAUGAAAUUGACAUCAUGAUUGUAGUUGCUUAGUGUAUGCAUCAUAGUUGUACAUAGGAUCAUGUAUAACUAUCAUGCUCGGGCGGCUACAAGGUUGGUGGAGGUUACACUACUAAGUAUGGUUGUAGUAGGCCGGCUUAAGGGAUGAUUAACCACACUCAAGGGAGUGAGUAUAGGAUGUAUGUUUAUCCUAGUUGUUGGGUUUUGUAUUUGGGUGGUUUUUGAUUAUCUUUUGAUAUAAAUAUGGGUAAGUUGGGAAGGUAUUAUGGGCAUGUACUACGAAAGCAUAGGAUCUGUACGCGUAGCAAAGAAGGCACGAACCCCGAUGAUUAGUCUUGCCGUAAUGAUUGUGAUAAUAUGAAUUAUGGGCCAGUACUACUAGAAGGUAAAGGAUCCAUUUCAAUCCAUCAAUCUACGAGUUAGAACAAUCAAGAUCAAGAAAUAUUUUGAAGAAAAUUUCAAAAUGUUCCAAAUUAUUGAAUACUCAAGGAUAAGGAAAAAUUGCCAAGUUAUUAUUAUUAUAAUUUUAUUUCUAGGUUCUUUUUCCAUAUGUAUGCUUUGGAGCUAAACCAAAAAUACCUUGAGGUCAAGAAGCAUUUAUGGGGAUGGAUGUAGAGGGAUGCAUAAAAUGAAUGUUGUUCAAAGUAUACGAGAAGCUUUUAUGAGGAUCGUAACUAUUUAGGGUAAGGAGGUAAUUAGGAAUGUGACACAAAUACAUGCAUUGAGGCAAGGCGUAAUUAGUGGGUUUAAUUUAGAUUAUCUUGUGUGAUAUUGGUGGGCAUGGUUUUAUGUGAUGUAUUAAAAGAUAAACUCCUGCUUAAGGUCAAGAAAAAGAAAAGUGUGGGUAUUUUGAUUUUUCCAUAUUUAUACGUAUUUUUAGAAAUUAUUUUAAUACAUUUUAAGCUAUAUUUUGCAUAAAAGCGAAGAUAUUUGAUACUUACUGAGUUAAAUUACAUUUUGAAGGAAAAAAAUGAUACUCAUGAAGAUAAAAGGAUCAAAAAUGAAAAUUUUGGAUGUUGGAAGGACUAGAGCUGAAGCUGGGAGUUUAAUGGAGCUUUAAAGGAAGAAAUUCAUGCAACAAGACUUCCCAUGACGUGGCUCCAGAGUAUCACGGUAUGGCAAUAAGAAAGAUCUUGAUGAUAUGUGCAAAUUAAAAGCUCACGACGUGAUCCUUGACUGUUCACAUCAUGAGAAUAAAAGUUCCAGAAGAUUAUAACAUGGAGUACAAGUUUCCUUGUUGAAGAAGGAUUUCUACUGAACCUAUGACGUAAGAAGCAUUGUAAGGAAACUGUAUAUAUCAUUUCUAGAUCAACAAGAAGAGUAUUGGGGAGACAUAUUCUAGAAUUCUAAGUCGAUUUCUGAUGCAUAAAAGUGUGAAAAACAACCCUUUGGAAGAGAAGAAGAUUGAAGAUUAACAGUUUGAAAAUUACACAUUACAUCCGGUAUGCAUUAGAUUAAUCAUGUCUAACUCUUAUGUGUUUUUGUGUUUAUUUUCUGCCACGAGUAGCUAAAUGAUUAGGCUUUUGUUUAGGGUAGACGAACCCUAAUACUGUGUGUUAGUUUUUUGCUUUUCAUAGUUUUAUGAAUUUUGUUUAACUUGUGUUUGAUUUUUCAUACCUAGCCUGUAAAAUUUUUAAUCUUUAUUGCUUUGAUUCAUAUAAAGUGUAGUUGAAUGACCAGCUUGAUUGCUUAGUAGUUUAUGAUCAUUAAAUUGUUAGAUCUAGGAUUUUCCAGAUCUUAGAUUAGUUAAUAAAGGUAAUAACUUUAUAUGUGUUUAAAAUCUAAUUUUAUCAUAAUUGUAUGUGGUUAUUUGUCUUGGUCAUAGAUAAUAAACUUAGGCAUUUCUGACAUAGCUCAAUUAUCUUAAAUAAUCAAUUAGGUGCUUACUUGUGUAUUAUCAUUACCUAAUAGUUCAUGAAUUGGUAUCGGAUUAAGACUGCUAAUUAUAUUUAUAUCGGUAACCAACUGAAUUAAUCCAUGUUUAGAAACUAACCAUAGGAAAAAGGAGGAUACAAAGCAAUCGAUUUUACGUUUUGUUUUUGUUUUAUUUCAGUAAUAUAAGACCAGAGGAUCACAGCUUCUUAUCAUACCACCACUUGAAGAUCCAAAAUCAGCUUUCCACAAGAAGAGAGAUAAAAUGGUCAACGAAAGUUUUAAAAAAGAUAAGCGUUUUGAGAUCUUCAAGAAAACUCCUAACGACAAACGUGUUGGGAACGAACCAGGAAUCGAGGACGAUUUAGAAGAAGAAAUAAAUAGAGAGGUAGAAGAAAUGGCCGACAUUGCGGAGUUGGCGAUGGAGGAGUACAAGAAGUGGAUGCUAAAUGCCCACGAUCUGGGUCUUAUUCGAUUUGCAGUACCAGUUGAAACUAACUUUGAGCUUAAAGGACACACUCUCUCAAUUCUCAAAGACAUACCAUUUUCCAGAAAAGAUUAUGAAGAUGCCUUCAAUAACAUUGAUGAAGUCAUGGAGAUUGCAAAUUAAUUCGAUGUUCCAAAUGUUUUAAGAGAUGCAGUUUUAUUAAGGAUGCUUCUAGUGACAUUAACUGGAGAUGUAAAAAUACGGUUGGAGUCGUUAGCACCUAGAACUAUAAGAACUUGGCAGAACCUUCGUGAUGCAAUCAUAGAGGAAUUUAGUCCUCCUUCAAAAGUAGCCAAACUUAAAAAUAAGAUAGCUAAUUUUCAGCAAGAAAUCAGAGAGUCUUUAUAUGAAGCUUUGGAAAUAUACAAAGGGAUUGCUCAGAAAUUUCCCUCAACAUGAUCUAAACGUGCAACCAGAAGUUUCCAUAUUCUAUGAUGGGGUGAAUGCGACAACAAGGCAACUCCUUCAUUCUCAAGGACCAAUGACUAAGAAGAAUCUCGCUAUAAUAAAAAACUUGAUUGAAGAAUUCACGAAGCAGUCUAGAGAAUACUAUAACCCAUGAAAGGAUAUUGAAAAAGGUAAAGGAAUUGGAGAUGGACGAAGCAAGAGCUUGGCAGCGGUGAUGGAAAAACUAGAGAAUAUGAAUAUGAGGAUAACAAAGAUGGGUGAAUCGAUUCAUUCCAUACAAGUAAGUUGCGACAAAUCUAGUAGUCUACACUUAAUGAAAGAUUGUGACUUCGAUGAAAAUGGAACCGAAAAGUGCAAGUAUGUUACUCAAGUGGUGACCAACUUGAUGAAGAUCAGAGGAAGUCGAAGAAAGACGGGUUUCCUUAUGAUGAAUACAAGAAGCAAAAAGAAGAAACAUAUCGGCAAACUGGAUGAGGCAAUUACCAAAAAGAACAACCACCACCUAAUAAAAAAUGGACUUUGAGUCAAUGCUUAAUAUUUUCAUGGAAGCCUCUGAGAACAGACGUGAUGCUACUGAUAUUAAAAUUAGAAACCAACAAGCUUCCAUCAAAAACAGUGAAACUUAACUCGGGCAAUUGACUACGCUCGUCAACGAAUAGUUAUGAUCCACAAUUCUUGAUCCAAAACCACAACCUCACAUCAUGGCUAUAACAACUGAAGAAGACCAUCAUUCAGAGCCUCUAAUGAUCCAUAAUGAAGCCUCAACGCAACCAGAUCUACAGAUGAAGAAGAUGAAAAUUGAUGAAAAAGAACAAACGGGUGCCAACUUCUCACCACGUGAAUACACACCUUUCACGUUGUGACAUCCCCAAUUUCACGGUCAGAAAGAACCAACUUGUUUAUGCUUAUUUAAAAAUCAUAGUAUCCUUUUUUAAGAAUAAUAUUGCGGAAUUUGUUCCCGAAAAACGUGAAAAAUGAUGUAAUCAAAGCAUUUCUGUAGAAAUGUAUUUUAUUUAUAUUAAAACAUUUGGGAUGUCAUCUUCAAUACAAAAACAUAAGCAUAAAGAAAUUUUACAAGCCUUAGAGUAAUUAAACUAGCGGCUUAUAACUCGUUGAAUCUCUCCGCAUAAUGUAUCUUUUAAUAUCGCUAUUUGUGAUACAAUAAAUUGAGUGGGUCAGGUUGUGAAACCUAGUGAGUACAUAGGGUUUUAAACCCAAAAUAAUAUAAUUAUUAUAUUUAAUCAUCAAAUAAAUAACCCAAUUUCCCAUCCCUAUUAUCUUGUAUAUCCUUAAGGAUCUACCGUAAUGAUCAUCCAUUCUUCAUUUAUUUAUUCCUAAGGAUUAUCCUAAGGAAUAGGUAAGAAGUCCAUCGCUGCCAGGGUUUAUCAAACAGACUCUAAGUCCAUAGCUUUUGAUGUUAUUUAUGAGUCACGGCUGCCAAUGUUAUAUAUUAGGCACGUCUGCCAAUGUUAUCUAUUAGGCACAGCUGCCAAUGUUAUCAAUUAUGAAUAGCUACCAGUGUUAUUUAUUAGGCACUAAGUCCAUAUUUUCUAGGGUUUUUAGAGAACAUAUGGUGAACACGUAGUUCAAAAACACCUACAAGCUGCGAUCCUGAUAGCGUUCCAUUGGACAGUCUAUAAUAGUUUAUGGUUGUCAUCUAUACACUACUAGAUGACUAGAUCAACUUUAAAGUCAAGUCUUCUCAUCAUCUUUCACCUCUCAAAAUCUAUAUCAUUUUUCAUCUCUCCUCAUCCAUAUCAUCUUUCAUCUACCCAUCUUUACCCAAUAUAUUUAUAGCUAUAAAAAUAAUAUAAAGUUUAAAUCAAGUAAAACAUGUAUAAAUCGUUCAUCUAGCAUAGUUAUCAGGAACAUAUAUAAUAAGCACGUAUAGCAUGUAUUAAUAUUAAAUACUUCAUAUCUAUGUGUAAGAUGAAGUAACUAUGCACUCACUUGUUAAAGUGACGUUUCAUAAUUUGGACAAUGCUUAGCUUCUAGCAAUUGUCUUUUCCGUUGAAGUAACCUUAUAUUAUUAUCACUAAGUUUUAGCCUAAUAUUUAUUGCGACUAAUUAUUAUAUUGGAUUCGUCAUUAAUUCAAAGUCUAAUUCAUGAUUUAUCAAGUCAGGAUCAUCCAGGUAGGACAGUUGUGAGUAGGACCAUUUCGGCUUAUAGCCUUUCUGAAACCCAACAACCAAAUCAACGUAACCAUUCUAAACACUCUCCCAUAAGUAGAUCAAUCAGUAUAAUGACUUGAAAUUACUGUUAAAUCUUAUUCAUAGGUUCAAAAUAUAGACUUAUGAAUGUAAAUAUAAGUUACACUGAAAACAUAAUAGUGUAGCUUAACUUACCGGGCUUUUUAACGAAAACCGGGAAAUUACGCUGGCAGAACUCCGACUCCAAAAAAUUCUUUUCGUCGGCUUUUUGAUAACUCAGAGUUUCUCUAUUGCACCCUAAAACAAGGAUAAAUCGAACAAGAAAGAAAGAAGAAAUUUAGAGGCAGUUCAGAGGAAUUGGUUAAGAAAAUAUUAAGAAUUUAUCCUUUAUUUAUAGGGGUUUGAUCACAUAGUAGGCCCUAAGUUUCAUCUUUAACUUCUGUGUAUGAUCUUUGGUUUCUAUGUUCUUUAUAUCCGCACAUUGGUAUUUAUGAGUAGUACAACUUUCAUUUAGACCCUGUCGGCUAAUUCUCAUUCUAUCUUAGAUUUACAAAUUUGUAUCGAAUUUAUUGCGCUCGAAGAGUAGGGACUAAGUUUCGUCCAUAUAUUUAACAUACAAGCUCUAUUCUCGACAUUAUUUAUAUCCAUGUGUUGGUAUUUAUGAGUGCUACCACUUUCAUUUAGACUCCAUUGGCUAGUUCUCAUUCUAUAUCAAAUUUACAAUUCUGUAUCGAAUUCAUCUUGAUCAAAGAUCAGGGAGUAAGUUUCGUCCAUAUCUUUAACAUACGAUCUCCGUUUUUUAUUGUAUUUUUAUCUUUUAACUCCUAUUAAACAUAUCUUCAAUUCUCGUUUUGAUCCUUUUGGCUAAAAUUCGAUUUUUUAGUUGUACACUACUAUGCUAAAUCUUAGAAAAAUCAUAACCACGUCAUAUGAAGUCCAAUUUUUACGUUCUCUAUAUGCUGAAUCUUAUAAAAAACAUAACCUACUCACAACGGGUCAUAAAUUAUUUGUUAUAACUCGGAUUUCAGCGUUGUUUAUAUGUAUGAAAUCCUUGUGACAUAUACUAGGACUUAUUGACUGUUGGCGGUGCUAAAUCUUGCACCCACUCUUUAUCUUAUGUUCAGACUUUCAAUCGUAACCUUCGAGCUACAAACUCGAUACUUAUUAGAGACCCCUGCUCAUUCUUAAACAUACUUAACGUAAGCUAAGCUCUUAACUUCAAUUACCAUAACAGACUGAUGGGUCAUGUUCUAAUUACCUGUCAUCCUAUGAUGCAACACUUAGACUCAUGUAUUUUUGAGUCAAAUUCCAUAAUGGAAGAUACCUUCCUUCAUGUUCUAAUGUGGUAUAAUCACAUUCUAUCAUGUAACACUUCUACCUACAAGCUUCUUAUUUUCACUGUGAUCAUGAUACUUUUACUGAUUGCUUCGAUUAUCUUUUACUUCAAUCUUGUGGCUUAAGUUGGUUGCUACAUCGAACUUGGUUCUCUAAACCAUGUACAAUACUUAUCUUAUCGAGACUCUAUUUGAUAUGACCACUAGGGUUGGAAUAUCAUUCAUCUUCUUGGUUAUUACUGAAACGAUGGUAAUAACAUACAUGAAAAAAAACAAAAUCAAUUACUAGCACCUUGGUAACCUUGUGAAUUUCCUUGAUCCAAGUGUGAGUCAUGUGCGUCCGGUAGUAUAGGCCUCUACUACCUUUCACACCUACUCAUACUUGUCCCAAGUAUUUCCUCUCAGCUCUCCAAGUCACCACACAAGAAAAAUCAUACAACAACAUAACAUAUCAGAUAACAUAACUAAGAUUUAUAUUAUAACUUGAAAUGAUUACAUAGAUAUUCGAGUUUAACCUAUACUAUGCCUCAUAUAUUAGGCUAGACAACAUGAUACUAUCUAUAUGGCUACUUUAUAGAUCCUUACUCCUAAUCCAUUGCAUCGUCACCUGCUUCAUCAAGGAUCAUUUGGAAUGCUCUUGCCUUUGGCUUCGGUGACACAUUUGGUCUUACUACAUCAUUUUUCUUCGGGAAAUCUUUUGACAUAUUCCUGUUGUCUCCACAUCAGUAACAUACUUUAUCAUUAGUCAAACAAUCCUUGGAAUAGUGACCGAUCCUACCAGACAUAUAACAAGUCACUUCUCCUUCACAUCUCCCAUAGUGCUUAUUCUUUCACUUCUCACACAAUUUGGCUCCACCACUACCCCCAUACUUUUGGUCAACCAGGUUAGAAUUCAAGAAUCUUCGUUUCUUAUCGGAUCUUAAGGAUCCUUCAGACCUCCUCUUUUCUCCAACUUCAACCUUAUAGGUGGUUUUUCCUUUUAUCAUUUCUUCAACAGAUUUAGCAGCCCAGAUGGCCGCCUCAAGAGUAGGUGUCUGGUGUACUGGCACAUUGUACUCCCAUGGUAGUCCCUUUGCGUACUUAUCGAUUUUUGUUAGCUCUUCAGGGACAAUAUGCAAAGAAAAAUCCAUGUUGUCUGUGAAGGCAUUGGUAUACUCAUCAAUGGAUAUGUUGGCCUUUUUCAAUGUCAGAAACUGGUUCUCUAACUCUAGCAUGUCUUGGGCUGAGUAGAACUUGCGCUUAAAGUGUACCAUAAUUCUGCCCAUGUUAGUAAUAGUGGCUUAUUGGGGCUUAUGAUCUUUCCCAAAGUGUUCCACCAACGAGCAACGCCACCCCUAAACUGACGCAUAACAUAAGUGGUUUGCAGCUUGCCCUUGCAACCACAUGUUGUGAUAGGUACCUCCAUCUCAAAGAUCCAGUCCAUAAAUCUGAUUGGAUUUUCUUUCCCAGUAAAAUUUGAUGGUGUGCAAGUCGUAAAUUCUUUAUACUUGCACCUGUUCCUUUUAAUUCCUUCCUCUUGGUUAUUUCUCCUAACCACGUGCGGUUCGGCUUGAUUAACGAUUCUACUAUAGUUUACUUCUUCUAAUUGUCCUUCAUUCAGUUCAGGUUGCACAACUGGUAUAAUAGGUUCAUCCCUAUUAUUAUGCAUCAUUUUGUAUCAAUUCCUCCCUUUUUCCGGCCAUCAUAGCCCAAAUCAUUUCUUGGACUCCUGCCAUCAUGAUUGGCUCGGUUACAACUGUUAUCUCUGGUGCAUGCUCAAUAACUCGUGGCUCAUGCUGUUGAUUACCAUUUUCAAACCUGCUUCGAGUUCUCACCAUGCCGAUCUAUACACCAAAUCAGACGUUCAGCGUGUAGUAACAAGAAUUAAGAUAGGGAAAGCUUUAUUCACGAAAGACGUAUGAAUCUCCUUAUCACCCCGAAAAGUUACAUCCCAGUUCUACUAUCAUAAUUAACCGUUUAGAAAUAUGAACACAUAAAAUUUACAGAUCCGGUCGGCAAUCGACCAUAGAUCCGAUCAAAUAAUAUCAUAUAAUGCAUAUAAGGUAUCAUAAAUCAUUUAGCACAUAAAAGAAAUUUAGACAACUUUCUUAAAAUAAGUUGGUGCUUGUGUCUAUUCUUGUAUAUUUCCUAAAUAUAGCAGACACUCGUCUCACAAUCAUUGUUUAGCAUUCUAAGUUUAAGUGUAGAAAUUUCCUAAAAUUCCUAGUUCUCUUAAACUAGUGCUCUGAUACCAACCGUGACAUCCCCAAUUUCAUGCCCAGAAAAGACCGAUUUGUUUAUGCUUAUUUAAAAAUCAGAGUAUCCUUUUUGAAGAAUAGUAUUGUAGAAUUUGUUUCGAGAAAACAUGAUAAUGAUGUUAUCAAAGCAUUUAUGAAGAAAUAUAUUUUAUCUAUAUUAAAACAUUUGGGAUGUCAUCGUUAAUACAGAAACAUAAGCAUAAUGACAUUUUAUAAGCCUUACAGUAAUUAAACUAGUGGCUUAAAACUCCUUGAAUCUCUCAAUAUAAUGUAUCUUUUAAUAUCGCUACCUAUGAUACAAUAAAUUGAGUGGGUCAAGUUAGAAAACCUAGUGAGUACUUAGGGUUUUCAAACCAAAGUAAUAUAGAUAUUAUAUUUAAUCAUCAAACAAUUCACCUAAUUUCCCAUCCCCCUUAUCUUCUUUAUCCUUAAGGAUCAACCCUAAGAAUCACCUAUUCUUCAUUUAUUUAUUCCUAAGGAUUGUGAUAAGGAACAAGUACAAAGUACAUCUCUAGCAAGAUUUAUCUAACAAGUACUAAGUCCAUAGUUACCGAUGUUAUCUAUUAGGCACAACUAACAAUAUUAUCAAUUAGGCACAUCUGCCAAUGUUAUCUAUUAGGCACAACUGCCAAUGUCAUCAAUUAGGCAUAGUUGCUAAUGAAAGUAACUAUGCACUCACUUGUUAAAGUGAUGAUUCGUAAUUCAGCCAGCGCUUCGCUUCUAGCAAUUGUCUUUUUUUUAUUGACGUAACCUAGUAUUAUUAUCACUAAGUUUUUGUCUAAUAAUUAUGUGACUAAUCAUUAGUCUUGAUUCAUCAUUAAUUCAAAGUCUACUUCAUGAUCUAUAAAGUAAGGAUCACCUAGGUAGGACAGUUGGGAGGCUGGACCAUUUCGGUGUAUAGCCUUUCUGAAAUCAAACAACCAAGCCAAUGUGACCAUUCUUGACACCUCUCCCAGAAGUAGAUCAAUCAUUAUAAUGACUUGGAAUUACUUUUAAAUUAAAUUUAUAGGUUCAUAAUAACGACUUAUAACUAUAAAUACAAGUUAUUCUUAAAACAAAAUAGUGUAGCUUAGCUUACUCGGCUUUUAACGAAAACUGGGAAAUUACGUAGGUAGAAUUUUUCAUUCUCGAAUUUGUAUCGAAUUUAUCACGCUCGAAGAGUAGGGAAUAAGUUUCAUCCAUAUCUUUAACAUAUGAUCUCUAUUCUCAAUUUUUGUUAUAUCCACGUGUUGGUAUUUACGAGUGCUACACGUUUCAUUUACACUUCAUCGGCUAAUUCUCAUUAUAUCUCAUAUUUAAAAAUUUGUAUCGAAUUCAUCGCACUCGAAGAGUAGGGACUAAGUUUCAUCCAUAUCUUUAACAUACAAGCUUUGCUUUCGACUGACUUUUUAUCGUUGAACUCGUAUUAAAGAUAUCUUCAAUUCUUGUUUAGAUCAUUUUGGCUAAAAUUCGAUUUCUGAACUGUAGACUGCUAUACUGAAUCUUAGAAAAAUGAUAACCUCCUCAAAUGAAGUCAAAUUUUGACGAUCUCUAUAUGCACGCUCUCGGUUUAACAAAAAAUACAAGUUUAAUUUAGAUUACUAUGGCUAAAAAGUAAUUUAUCAAAAAUUUACUUGUUACGAUACACAAAAGUUUUCGUGUAAAACUUCAACGAGUCAUAACUUCUUUGUUAUAAUUUGGAUUUCAACGUUCUUUAUAUGUAUGAAAUCCUUGUGACAUAUACCAUAACUUUUGUUAUGAUUAUUUAUCUUGAAUAAUAUCUAUCAAAAAGUUAUUUUUAACUCUUAUUGUCUCUAAAUUGAAUAGCCCAAAUAUGAGGGUGUUACACAUAUCGUGGGCCUAGUCUAAUACGAAAAAUAUUUUUUGUCAAGUCGUAUCAGCCUCCGUUACCUUUUCCUUCUUGAGCAAGGGCACAUCAAUUAGAGCAAGAGCAUAAGAGGUUCAUCAUUCAAGCGAAGUGUAUUCUGGUAAACACCCCAUUUAUUGUAGCAUUAGCUAAAAUACCCGAAUAGGCGAAAUUCCUUCAAGAUCUUCUCGACACAAGCCAACAACUAGAGAAGACGUCCAAGGCUGUUCUUAAUGAACAAUGUUCAAUAGUUAUCAUGUAAGGAAUACCAAAAGAGAUGGGAGAUCUAGGAUGUCUUACAUUACCAUGUGAAUUUUGAAAUGCCAAGAAGACAAACGCUUUAGCUGUUUCUAGAGCUAGCAUUAAUUUAAUGCCAUAUUCUUUUUAUAAAGAGUUUGAAUUUCCAAAAUUGAAAUCAACAAGAAUGGCGAUACAUAUGGCGAGUCGUUCGGUGACUUAUCCUCGAGGCGUAGUAGAAAACUUAUUGGUUAAAAUUGAAAAUUUUGUUUUUCCAACCGAUUUUGUGGUUAUAGAGAUGAAAGAGUAUAAAGACGUACCCAUUAUCCUUUGAUGCCCUCUACUUAAUACUGCAAGAGCCUUGGUUGAUAUUUAAGAGUCUAAGCUUACUUUGAGAGUGGGUAAACAAGAAAUGACAUUCGGGGUUGAUGAAUGAUUCAAGACUUCUAAGUCACAAACAUGAAGUAUUCUUUCUAGAUGAGGAUCACGAGUUAGAGGAAUUGGAGAAAAUAAAGGAAGAAGAAGUCGAAACAUGGUAAUAUCCCAAGAUAAUAAGUGGAAGAAAAGCUUACCAAGCCAAGAGCCAUGAUUCCAUGGUUUUUGAAGUCUUUUCCUUUACCACACCAAAAGUUCAAGUUGAUAAGCAACAUAAAAAUGAAGAAUUUUAUUCAAGUGAUGAUAAGUUUAUUUCAAGUAAAGAGACCAAGCUUGAUGAUAUGGAGGUAGACAAGAAGGAACCCGCUAAAGAUAAAGAGAAAUGCUCGAAUGAUGAAAAAUGCCUAGGAGUUUAAGGAAAACUUGAUGUUUGCGACAACCAAAAGAAGAAAGAAAAUGCAAAGAAAUCAUAUAUAAGGUGAUUUCAAGCUUAUAAUAGAAGAUGGAAGGAACAGAAGGAGAAAAAGGAGAUUCUACUGCCACUAAUAAUAACAUAAAGUGGGAAGGAGUCCAGCUCACAACUCUAUCAAGAGAAGUGCUUCUUGGGACGCAACCCAAGCUGGGUUUGCAUUUUCUUAUUCCUUUCGUUAGUUUAGUUAGUUUUGCAUUAUUAGAUUUUUAGGAUAAUUCAUUUAUUCAAGUGUGGAGUUUAAAUUUUAAGUGGUAAAAUUUUAAAAGAAACAAAUAUGUGGUUUUUAUCAAACUUUUGAGCCUAUGACGUGGGAAUAAGGUAUCACACCGUGGGGAAGAAGAAAAGCUCCGAUUAUAUUUGUUAGUUUAAAAACUCACGACUUGAGGUAUAUCCCUCACAACGUGAACUUUAAAAGGGGACCAAUACCUUUGAAUCGAACAAACCCAGUUUGACUUUCACUUUCUAAACCCACUUACGACGUGAGUUCGAACGGAAAGCACCCUUGGUCCCCCCCACUUUGAUUUUCAGUCAAUUUCCUUCGAUUCUUCCAAUAUUUCUUGUUCUAUCUUCAACAAAGGUAUGAUUUAUUUGUUUAAAACCCUUUAAUUUUGUAACAACCAAAAAUUCAAGACCAAAAAUUUCAUUUUUAAUUUAAUAGUUCAUAGAACAGAUUAUUCAAAACAUCAUGAAAUUAUCUCAUAUCAUAAAAACCCAUACGUCAUAUGUCUCAAAACAUGUCAUAAUAUAAUAAUUUCCGAGUAAAAAUCCCAAGAACAUCGUAGUGCAGAAAGUCAUGGUGUGAUGCGCUACUAUCAUGCCAGCUCCUUUCCUUUCAAAGAAGAAGGACAUGAAACAAAAAUUGAAAACCGUAAGCACAAAGCUUAGUAAGUUCCCCCCAUCAUACCACAUACCAUACAAUAAACUUAUUGUCUAACAUGUCCGGGUACUCGCCUACCCCUUCGUUCUCUUUCAACCGGUAACUUGCCUAGCAUAUCAGGGUGCUGGCCUACCCCUUCGGUCUCAUUUAACCGGUAACUUGCCUAGCAUAUCAGGGUGUUGGCCUACCCCUUCAGUCACUUUUAACCGGCCACUUCGCUAGCAUAGUAGGGUGUUGGCCUACUCUUUCGGUCCUUUCAACCGGUACCGGAGACUAUUUCACCGUAACUCUACCAUGUUAUCUCCUAGUACAUAAAUACAUAAGUCGCAUACUGCCUAACAUAUAAGGGUGAUGGACUACCCUUUCAAUCCUUUCGACCAGUAUUGGCGACUAUCCUACCCCUCUUACUACUUUCACAUAAUAUCAUAGCAUACUAGCACAUAAAGCAUAACAGAUAGUGGCAUACCAGAUAAUUAUCACAAAGACAAUCAUCUCUACUACAAUUCUUAGUAGUGGGUUGGUAUUGGUGCCUUCGACCCAUUUCUACUGUAAGGUAACUCACCUCGAUAACUUGGAAAUAACUACAAAGGCUCCUGCUCUGAAAUUAUUCCCUCCUAGACUCCUACACAAAAGCAUUUCCUUUAAUUACCCUUUUCAUACUUAUAACGCCUCUAAGGGUCAACUUUGGUAAAUAGUGAAAGUCAAAGUUAACAUCCUGGUUGACUCAACUCGCCAAGUUGGUCCAUCAACUCGUCGAGUUCCAUGAUCCAUAAAACCCUGGAAAUAUCGAUCCAACUCAUCGAGUUCUUUCAUGAACUCGUCGAGUUCCUCCUUAUAACAGAGUCAGGACAUUUCACUUACAACUCAUCGAGUUCCUCCUUGAACUCGUCGAGUUCUUCAAUCUUCAAAACCUAAAAACCAUGGCUAACUCGUUGAUUCAUCUCCUAGACUUGACGAGUUUGCUCAAUAACAAAAAAGGUUGGGGAAACACGACACAAAUCGUUAAGUUGGAUGAACAACUCAUCGAGUCCCCCUUAGUCUAAAUCCAUUCAGUCACUUCCAAUCGAGUUCAAUGCCUCCAAACCAUAGAUCUGGUCCCUAGGACUAAAUUACCACGUAAAGUUGCUAACUUUACGUUCAUGAAUGGUCUCAUGAAGCUAGAAACACCAAAACUAAGCUAUAUAAGAGGUCUAGGGCAUGGGGAAGGGCCAAGGCUGGAUAAAGCUGGCAACUUUAAGCCUCAUAAGUUCAUGAGUUCCUAGAUCUAAAGUCAUAACUUCAUGUUACACUCAAAUCCCGAAAAUGACUUCAAUAUGGCCCAAAAGUGACAACAAACUACCCUAAAUGGAUCUAAGUAAUUGAAAGCCACGGUAUCAACUUUAUACCUCAAAUGAGGCAGAAAUGUAGCUCAAACCCCGGAUCUACUAUCUUCCUCUUGAAUCCCCAUGCUUUUCCUUCCUUCUCAAGCUUCAAAAUUAAAAAGAACACACAACAAUGGCUCAAAAACACUCAGAAGUGGAUUACGGUUUUGUGGCUAGGAUUUGGGGUGAUGGAGGUUGGAAAUGAGGCCAAACUUUAGAGGAUAAGGUGUUUAAAUAGUGUUCAAAGCCCUGAAAAUUAGGGUUUGACUCUGGCAACCCUACUCGUCAAGUUGAGACUCUCAACUCAUCGAGUAGGCUUCAAAUCCGGUGUCCAAAUUCCAUUCAUACUCAAAGAGUUUGGGGCCUCUCACUCGUCGAGUCCCUUUACAAAAAUGAAUAAAUUGAUUUGAAAUACAUACAAGGAACCGAGCGUUAUAAAUUUACUGAUUUUAUACAUUUAGAAGUUAGGGUUUUUUCUUAAGGUUCAUGUCUCGAAAUUGAUGUGAUUUACUAUGACAUUGGUGUUGCAUGUAUGAUUACUAGGCUAAUAUUGAUUGCUAAAGUAAACCCCUUGGAUUGAUUUGGUUUGAUUUUUCUUGAUUAACGACUUAUUUCAAUUCUCACUGUCGAACCAAGCUCACGAAGUGAGAUUCCUAUCUCAUGACGUGAGAACUGGGUAUACAGCCUACAUCAUUUUCUGUUGAUUUAGUUUGUUGUGUUUUUUAUUUUGGAUUUGUUUGUUAGAUAUUUUUCAGGUCUAAUGGGUCCAGUGGAGGCUACUACAUAGUCCCAAGGUGAUUUGUCCAACUUUCAUCCAUUUUACGAUUUCCCAAGUGACCUUCCCCAUGAAAUUUUAAACACCUCCAUCCGUGUACAAAGAAUUGUGUUGAAUUUUUCUCGACCGUUUCUUUUGAAGAAAAUACAGUAGACCCACAUUUCACAGGUGAACUCGUAUUCCGUCUUGAUACCCAAUAUCAAGAGCAUAGUUUGGUCGAGUUAGCAUGGACGAUGGGGUUGUAUGAGGAACAUGAAGUCAUGUCUCCUCCAUUUAACAUAUUUUUGAGGGAGGCUACACGAGAUUAUUCACCAGGGGUAACUGGUUAUGGGUUUGUACAAUAAUAGAAAAUCAAGGAUUUCACUCGGGAGUAUCUUAAGAAAUUUAUAUCCGCUCUCCUAUCCAUCGCAUCAUCAAUCGGCUCGUAAAAUUUUCAAUCAAUCACAAGAAACAGACAAGGUCACAAGUCUCAAUUUGUUUUUCAUUUGGAGCAUUAUAGUACCAAGAGUUUGCUGCAACAUCCCUUGUUUCCUUGCUCGAUAUUUAGGGGGUAAGCCAGUUAGUUCGAUAUCAAGAAUUCCAAUCACAGGUGGACACUUUGUAACCCGGUUAGCGAAAUCUUGUGGUGUGUUUAUUACAAAGAAGACUUGUAAUUUGGCAUGCAUUGAGAAAAAGUGAGCUUACUUUGAGUUAUUUGGAGUUAAUGAGUGUGAUAGUAAAUUUGGGAGGAUUCUGCGGGCACCAACCGAUGAUGAGGUGAGAGAAGUAGGAUACAUGGGGGAACCACUAAGAGAAAGAGAGAGAUGGAGAGGAUGCAAGAAUGUGAGAGGAAGUGGUGAGACAUGACAACCACAACAACCAGACAUGCCAAUUUGAGGAGUAGCAACCGACCCAUUCCAUAUUUGGGUUGGGUAUUAUUUGGACAACAUUUUGGGUUCUGUGCAUUACCAAAACCAAGAAAUUGACGGAAUUUAUUUGCAUUUUCAUAUUGAGCGACAACCUAACAUGUCAUUACAAGCUCCUGACAUUCCGACUUGGGAAGAGAUAUGGGCAUCACAUAAUAUUGGGGCGGUUUCGAGUGGAGCACAAGAAGAUGAAGAUGAAGAAUGAUCAAUUACAAUUUUUAAUUUUAUUAAUUUUUAUUCUUGGUUUAUUUUGGUGUGUUUAAUUAGUGUUUUAAUUUGUAUGGUUUGUUUUUUGAAGACAUAUAACCAAAUGGUAGUAUGUUUGUUUUCUUGAUACAACCAAGAUGUUUUGUGUUUGUUCGCAUAAUCAUUAAAAUAUCGAGAAAUAAAAAGUCAUGAGAGUUAGCGUUAAGAAUCAAAGAACAUAAUCUUUUAUAUGUGUUGGGUGACAUUCGUGUGUGAAGGAAGAGAGAUUAGAGAAAAGAGAUAGUUGAAGAAAAAUAAAGGUCUUAAAAUAAGUCUUAAUUAGUUAAGAGGCCAAUUCAUGUUCACAAGCAUAGAUGAAUUAUUGAAGGAAUGCAAUCUGCCAUUGCCCAGUUCUCACAACAUGAGCUAUUAUUAUUGACGUCAUAAGACAUAUUUCAUCAUGAUUUGGAAUUCAAUGUAUCAAUACUCACAUCGUCGCUCCUCUAUUCUCAAGAUGUGAGGUUUCAGAUGGUCGCUAUUCAAUCUCUUCUUUUCACCUUGACAACGUGGAAUAUGUUUUCCCAUGUUAUGGAUACAGAGCAAGUAGUAUGCUGAAGAUUUUAUGCACUGCAGUUUUUGAAGAUGCAAUUCUUUGGUUUACAUUUACUCGACACACUCACAAGUAGCAGUAAAAUUCUAGUUCCAACAACAUAUUCGAGAUAUUCAACCUUUCCCACCACUGAUCAUAUUUAAUUUCGAUCUCGCCACUACUACCCCAAGUGAGUAUGUUCCUUUUUCUCCCUUUUAUUAUUUUUAUGUGCUUUAAUUUUUUAAGCAUACAAUGAAGGCAUUGUAUGAAAUAAGUGUAGGGUAGGAGGUUGAAAAAGGAUAAUCAAGCAUAAAAAUAAUUACGUAAAAAAAUGCUAGAAAUAUUUAAAUGUAACAGCCCAAAAUCUCAAGUAUUGUUAAAUUGCAUUUUAGGGUGUUUUAAAGGAGGGACUCGGCGAGUUGGAGCCAGACUCGCCGAGUAGGGUCGCAGAUUUGAUCGUGGGUUCGCGACUGGACUCGACGAGUCCAGGUAUGGACUCGGCGAGUCGACGCUGUUCAGCAGAAACCCUAGCCGUUUCGUAUUGGGUCGUAUUUAAGGGUUGUAUGUCGUCAUUUCACGUCUUUUGGCCGAUUGUGGAGAACCCUAGACGACUGUGGCAUUUGGAGCAAAACUUGAAGGCCAUUAUUGACUUUGAAGGAAUUGUGGUGCAAGAAGAGGAAGGAUUUUGGCCAAAGGAAGAGCAUGGGGGGUCGAGUUCUGAGGUUUGGGGACGCAGAGGGUAUGUUUUCAGGUAAGGUUUCGGAUCAUUCCUGUUAUUUUGAUGUGUACACGAAUUUAGGGUUUAUGAAACCCAUUUGGAGAUUUGAUGGAUUAUUAUGUUGUUAUACAAAGGUUUCUACCCUAGUAAUAGGAUGAUUAGAGGUCCAGAAGUCCCCAUGAGUGUGUAUCUCGGGAAAAAACGUACCUCAGGAAGCAGUUGGAUCGACUGCAUGGCGUGGACUCGCCGAGUCGGAUGAUCAGACUCGGCGAGUAGCUUGAAGAUUCACUGGGACUCGCCGAGUUGUUCUUCAGACUCGGCGAGUGGAGUCGGGGUGGCCCCGCGAUUCUUCCAGGAGUGACUCGUCGAGUCAAAGAGGAUACUCGACGAGUAGAAGGGGAAUCUUAGAGGAUUGAAGGACGACCAGACUCGCCGAGUCGCCAGGGAACUCGCCGAGUCCAGUCGAGCUGACAAUGGACUGUUGACCAGAGUUGACUGGUGUGAUUUCUUAGGGUCAGUUAACGUGGAAGAUAGAAGUAUUAAUAAGGGAUAUAUGAUGUUACAGGGAGCUUGUAGCUCGGAGGAUCAAGUGCAAGGGACUUUAGGAGUUGCUAUCUUCCAGUGUCCGCGAGGUGAGUCUUCUCACUAUACUGUACCCGGAAGGGUUUGAUUGUGUGACCGGAAGGUCAAGUAUGUUAUGUGUUAUGUUUAUAUGCUAUAAAUGGAAAGUUAGCUGCUACGCGUGAUAUACAUGCUUAUAUAUGGGCCGGAAGGCAAAGUAUUAUGUGACAGAAAGGUCAGGUAUGAUAUAUGGUGUAUGUGCUUUAUGUGUUAGAGUAUUUGCAUUAUGUGUUAUAUAUAUGUAUGGGCCGGAAGGCGAUAUGUUAUGUGGACCGAAAGGGGCGGGCCGGAAGGCGAUAUGUUAUGUGGACCGAAAGGUCCGGGCCGGAAGGCGUAUGUGCGUAAGGUAUAUUGGGGAACUCACUAAGCUUCGUGCUUACGUUGUUUAUGUUAUGAUGUUUCAGGUUCUUACAGUAACGCGGGAUGGCAACGGUUCGAUUGUACACACCGAAGAAAGAGUGGUGUUUUGGAGGAUCCUGGUUUUCUAUUAUAACGAAAAUGAAACUAUGUUUUGUAAUUUGAAUGUGAAUAAGAUUUUAAACAAGUGUUUUAAUAUUAAAUAGAUUAUUUAAAUGAAAAUUUUACUUUUGGAAAUCUCGGUGUUACAUUAAAAUUAAUAGGCUUGCAAAAAUAGUCUAAUAAUUCUAGUCAUUCUUUUAAAAAAAUUUAAAAUUAUUUCACGUGGGCUUGUUUUCUAGUGUUAUGUGGGAUGAUUCGAUGAAAACCCAAAGAUUUAGUUGAGCCAAUAUGCUAUAGUGUAUUUGUGGCUUCCCAGUCUUGGUGAAAUCAUGGGACAAAAAUACAACAUUGUGUAGUUUGAGGGACAUAAUAUGUUUACCAUCAUGUACGAUAAAUGUAUCCAGGAGAGCUUAUGUAGUCAUUGCAAUUUAGACAAAUACUUUUAACCAAUAAGAGUUGAAGUUAAGUUGUCUAGCUUAUGCAUAUGUUUUUCUUUUUAGGAUUUUUAGUUUUGAGUGAAAAAAGUGAGUUGUGAAAAAAGAAAAUAAUAGAAAAAAAAAAA
rnacentral:lncRNA from 1 species